CCCAGGAUGAUCCAGUGUUCCAAACCUAACGAUCCCCCAUGGUUUUCUGGACACAGCCCUAACUGUCACACUCACCGAUGACAGACAUGUCCCCGGGCCUGAGGCUCACAUCCGGGAUAACAGGAAAUAAUAUGAGCUAGAUGAGAAAGCCAAGAAUCAAGUCGAGGGAGUAACUUGCCUCAGGUCACAUGGCAAGUUGGUGACAGAACACGGAACAGAAUCAAUUCUGCUGACUCAGCCUACCCUUACACCUCCCUCCUCCCCAGUGGAGCUCACCUCUGGCCACUCACGAUCACCAUGUGCAGGUUCUCCAAUGUCCAGGGAUGCACAUCCAAGCCCUGUAUUUUUUGAAGCCUCCUGGAAAAUUCUAAUGUGCAAGUAGGAUGAGAACCCCUGCCUUACAACAUGAAAACAAUGGUGAGGAAGUACACACAACCCAACUAUUCCAAUAUUCAUUCCCCAUUAAAUAAAUACAUUACUUACAUAAAAUGAAAUAUCUUACUCUACGCCAGCACUGCAGUAGGUGUUGAGAUGCAAAAAUUGAAAAAAAAAUACAGGACCUCCCCUGAAAAACAGUUGAUCUCUUGGGUAAAACAAAACAAGAACAAUCCAUCCAAAAAAAUGGCCACUUUUCAUUGGCAACAGAAUGGAAUUCUUGGCAGCCUUAGCUUCAAACUCUCAGCCACCUACCUCUCUCUUGGUCUCUCAAAUUAAGUAAACAAUUCCUUCAGAAGA